rnacentral:rRNA from 1 species
AUUGAACGCUGGCGGCAUGCCUUACACAUGCAAGUCGAACGGCAGCGGGGGAGAAGCUUGCUUUUCCUGCCGGCGAGUGGCGAACGGGUGAGUAAUACAUCGGAACGUGCCCUGUAGUGGGGGAUAACUAGUCGAAAGAUUAGCUAAUACCGCAUACGACCUGAGGGUGAAAGUGGGGGACCGCAAGGCCUCAUGCUAUAGGAGCGGCCGAUGUCUGAUUAGCUAGUUGGUGGGGUAAAGGCCUACCAAGGCGACGAUCAGUAGCUGGUCUGAGAGGACGAUCAGCCACACUGGGACUGAGACACGGCCCAGACUCCUACGGGAGGCAGCAGUGGGGAAUUUUGGACAAUGGGCGAAAGCCUGAUCCGGCGAUGCCGCGUGUGUGAAGAAGGCCUUCGGGUUGUAAAGCACUUUUGUCCGGAAAGAAAUGGCUCUGGUUAAUACCUGGGGUCGAUGACGGUACCGGAAGAAUAAGGACCGGCUAACUACGUGCCAGCCGCCGCGGUAA